rnacentral:rRNA from 3 species
GUGACCCCAGGAUGGGCGGGAU